UAUGGUGACUAUGGCGGUGGGGUCCACCUCUUCCCAUUCCGAACAGAGAAGUUAAGCCCACCAGCGCAGAUGGUACUAUUCGAGAGAAUGGAAGAGUAUGUCGUUGCCAGCU
rnacentral:rRNA from 1 species